rnacentral:rRNA from 1 species
AUUGAACGCUGGCGGCAUGCUUUACACAUGCAAGUCGAACGGUAACAGGUUAAGCUGACGAGUGGCGAACGGGUGAGUAAUGCAUCGGAACGUGCCCGAUCGUGGGGGAUAACGCAGCGAAAGCUGCGCUAAUACCGCGUACGAUCUGAGGAUGAAAGCGGGGGACCGUAAGGCCCCGCGCGAUCGGAGCGGCCGAUGUCAGAUUAGGUAGUUGGUGGGGUAAAGGCUCACCAAGCCAACGAUCUGUAGCUGGUCUGAGAGGACGACCAGCCACACUGGGACUGAGACACGGCCCAGACUCCUACGGGAGGCAGCAGUGGGGAAUUUUGGACAAUGGGCGAAAGCCUGAUCCAGCAAUGCCGCGUGCAGGAAGAAGGCCUUCGGGUUGUAAACUGCUUUUGUACGGAGCGAAAAGGUUCUCUCUAAUACAGAGGGCUCAUGACGGUACCGUAAGAAUAAGCACCGGCUAACUACGUGCCAGCCGCCGCAGUAA